CAUAUGGAGAUAUGCGAGUUUUCUGUUUGAUCUAUGUCCUGGUUUCGUGCCCUUGCUGCAAUGGUAGUGUAACGACAUACUCCUACCGGUCGGUUUCCGCCAUCGGAGUUAAGUGAUACACGUAAAUCCAGUUGCAGUGAGCGAAGAUCAAUAUGAUUGGUCGAAUUGAAACCCAGGGUCAUACGCCAGGCGCAUUAGAUGUGCAAUGGUAGAUGAGAUCUACUGCCGGGGUCGGGAUUUUUACCGUAUGCGUAUGCUUCGG
rnacentral:lncRNA from 1 species